AGAACGAACGCUGGCGGCAUGCCUAAUACAUGCAAGUCGAACGAACACUUCGGUGUUAGUGGCGCACGGGUGCGUAACGCGUGGGAAUCUGCCCUUGGGUUCGGAAUAACAGUUGGAAACGACUGCUAGUACCGGAUGAUAUCGAAAGAUCAAAGAUUUAUCGCCCAGGGAUGAGCCCGCGUAGGAUUAGCUAGUUGGUGAGGUAAAGGCUCACCAAGGCGACGAUCCUUAGCUGGUCUGAGAGGAUGAUCAGCCACACUGGGACUGAGACACGGCCCAGACUCCUACGGGAGGCAGCAGUAGGGAAUAUUGGACAAUGGGCGCAAGCCUGAUCCAGCAAUGCCGCGUGAGUGAUGAAGGCCUUAGGGUUGUAAAGCUCUUUUACCCGGAUGAUAAUGACAGUACCGGAGAAGUAAGCUCCGGCUAACUCCGUGCCAGCAGCCGC
rnacentral:rRNA from 1 species